CCGCAGUGAAAGACUGCAAUUCCAUUCCGCCAAAAACAUACUGGUGGGACUGGAUUUGUAUCCGAGGACAUAGCUUUGAAGUGUCGUGGAAAUAUUUUCAAGGGAAGAGGUGUGAUUGCUUCUGCUUUUAAGCUCCCUCCUCAUACAAUUCAUAUUCGACCGUCGAUGAUCAAGGUUGAAAAGGACCCGAAGCUUUCAAAUAUCAGGACCGUUGAUGCACUUGAAAUAGUACAAACAAGUUUUGGUGAAUCAUGGUGAGAAGGAUGGUUUGACUGCAGCCAGAAUGAUCUUAACUGGGAUUCCUCUGGACGAAACAUACCUACAGAAUCGUCUGUCCAUCCCGAUGAACGAUGAAAAGAAGAGUUUGAAAGGAGGAAGGAUUCAUAUUCCAGAUUCUUACUAUCUAAUGGGGACAGCCGAUCCAACAGGAAUUCUUAAAAGUGAUGAAGUUUGUAUUAUCCUGUCGUUUUGGUACAUGCACCAAUAAAGGAUAAUAACCAAAAUAAAGAUUACAGCAUCAGUGGACUUUAUGGAUUUUGUUUGAAUGGCUUUCAUCUGUGGCACCUGCAAUACGCUCACAGAAUCUGAUUUCUCUGUAAACACAGAGGAAACUUAGUAAUUAACUGCUCUCUACGAGACCAAGCUAAAUCUGGCAAAGCAUGCGACUACUAUAUAAAACAAAUACAACUUUGCUAUUAGGAACUGUGCA